UUUAAUUAUAUGUGACGUCGUCAGCGAAAAUCAGUCUUGUGUACGCUGACGUUUAUGUCGGGAAAUCGCGAGAUAAAAAUCUUGUACGAAAAUGCGCUGGAUAUUUCGUCUUUUUCAUACAAUUUCUCGGCUCAUAAUUUAUGGCAUGCUUUGAAAAUUUCCACAAUAUAGCAUGAAUAUGUCCUUUAAACACUGGCACAAUUGGUGGUUUGUAAUCCGCUUAUUUAAUUCAAAUUAUUCCCCUUGAAAGACACUGUUUCGUUUGAGCAGUUCACAGGAAGCGCAACCUGUCUCGUAGUGUUCAUUUUCAAUGGCUAUUCAACGCUGUAAAUCAAAAUGACAUCGUGUACUAAUGGAUGUCUUCAAUCGAAGAAGGUUCGGAAAUGAUAUAUCCACAUGCUUAAAAUAGGUUGGGAAGUUAUUUUUCAAGACCCUGAGGAAGUGUUAGGUGUAUGGAAUCAGCUGUGAAGGAUCUGGAAAGCAGGUGUUUUACCUCGCAGACGAAGGCCAGUCACAUGGUAAAGAUGUAAAUGCUGUGGUCAGCAAGGUUCACCACUACCUGAACACAUACGGUCUUGGCGAACAUCAUGCUCACUUUCAGUGUGAUAACUGUUGCGGCCAAAAUAAAAACAACAUAGUCAUCUGGUAUCUUCUGUGAAGAGUUCUUGUAGGUUUACACAGAAUCAUCACACUAAGCUUUAUGUUGAUAAGACAUACAAAGUUUACACCAGUCAGAUUGGCACUUUGGCAUCUGGAAGUCAAAGUGGAGAAACUUCAAUGCAGAAAUGUUGUCUGAUGUUGCUGCGUCUGUGGGGUUAUCGUCAAGGACGAGCCACAACAUCCCCCAGCUUGUGGGGGACUCUUCCAAUCCUGUUGUUAUCUAAGACAGGAAGGAUUACCUUACGACAUUGUUUCACCACAUAAAGAAUGUCACCAAAUUUCAUCAAUUUCCAUGUGUCAGCGGAGCAUGCCGGUGUUGUGGAAUGCAGGGAAUUUAGUGACUCACCAGUAGUCAGAAUCACUCUCAGGAAGGUCUCGAAAGUGAAUUUUAAUGUGAGCUGUGACAACCUGCCAUAAGAAAUGUUUGCGAAAGGGCUUGAUCUGGACCAUCAGUGGUGUUUAUUUGAAAACAUUCGUGAAUUCUGUCGCAUAGAUGAAUAAAAAACUUGACAUGUCCGAAACGCGCUACUGGUGAGCAACAAAAAACAGACUGUGCCCCCCAAAAAAGAAGAUGCAUUAAGAUGCGCAUCUGAUCUUCUCUGAUAGUGCCACAACAAUUACAUACAUCAUGUAUCAGUGUUUAUUUUGGCCAAGGUAUUGGGUGAUAUAUUUUCCCCCAAACAAUGCAAAAAAUCCUCUAUUCCUAGGAAAGCUAAAACAUGUAUACGAUUGCUAAAUGUGUCAGUUGAUACAGGUUUUGAAAUGUUCAAUGCAAACGUUUGUUCUAAUUGCACAAGCUUGUUUUCAAGUUUUUUAUAUCUCAUAUUUACAAAACAAAAAUCAUUUUUUCCAUGUAACCAUGCAAUUGUUUUCUCCUUAUGGACACAGACUGCCUUUCCGAAAAACUGGAAAAAAAAUCAGUGUGAAUAUUGUAUUUAUUUAAGUUUUACAAUGGAAAUCCUAUAUUAUUGCUUGUUUGCUACAUUGUUUCCAUAGUAACAAAAACAAACAAUUUUUAUGUUUAAGUUAUUGUUUAUUUUGUCUAUUUUUCUCUAUCAGUAAUAAUGAUAAAAAAUGAUUAUUUCAUUUACUGAAACAUUUAGUAUCCAAGUGUACUUUCAACCAACACUUUUCAAUGCUGUGUUUUUCCAUUCUGUUGUGUUUGAGGUUACAUUAUACUUAAAUACACAUGUAACUGAAUAAAAAAAGGAAAUUGUUCAUGGAACACACAAAUUAUUGAUUGUUAAUGUUUAACUAGUUACAAAACAGUUAAAUUAAUGUUGUGUUUGCCUUUAAACAAACACUUGAUUGAAAAUACAAUUCAUAGAUUUAUAAAAGGCGUGAUUGUGUGCUCUGGUGAUUAUUAACAUGUAGAUCGGUUACCAUAGCAACACAAAUGGUACAUUUUAAAUGUCCAUAAUGCUGUUGUCAGUUUAUUGCACUAUAAUUAUGUAUUUGACUAAAGGAAAGAUUAUUGUUUUAAUAAAACAAUGUGCUUGUUGUU